UGCGUUUAGGAUUUCAUUUCAUAGUCUCUUUCAUUCGGUUCAACUAGACCGAGCAUAGUCCGAGCUCUCGUUUAGUGUAAUGAGUUUCUAUUCGAUUACUUAAGCAAGCGUAGACUGUAAUAGUCUAGUAAAAUUAUUUAAAGUUUCAGCGCAAUGUGUUUUUGUUCAAAGCUUUCUUACGUAACACGAACUAAAAGUUGUAAAAACAAAAAUAUAUCAUGAUGAUAGAAAAAAGGAAACAUUGACGAUUUUAUACGACGUAUUUUUAUCAUGUUAUUUAUUUUUUGCUCAAUCAGGAUCUCCCGUAACGUAUGCCUAUCAUCGUUGAAACUGUCUAUCGCUACAUAUUCUACCGAGGCUACAUCAAGCGUAAAGAAAUUAUCCCGUACACAGAAAUACCGAUGUUUAUUAGACACAAAAAAUGUCAAAAAUCAGAAGAUAUCACCUAACUUUGUUACAUCGUUUGAUCACCAAAAGCCUACUCAAUGUGUAGAUAUAACGAACAAUGAAAAGCAAAAGAAUUUAUACAUGCAAAAUGAACAAGAAUGGCAGUGUAUAAAAUUAGAUUCUGGCAAACUUCGAAAACAUUGCUUCAUGUUAUCUAAGAUACGGUUAACAUCUUUGGUAGUUGUAACAACCAUGGCUGGAUAUGCAUUAGCACCAGGGCCUUUCGAUGCUUUUACAUUUGUUGCAUGUUCUAUGGGUACUGGAUUAGUGUCUGCAACAGCAAAUGCUAUCAAUCAAUUUUUUGAAGUUCCUUUUGAUGCGCAGAUGUCAAGAACAAAGAACAGAGUGUUGGUUAGAGGUUACUUAACACCUGGCCAUGCAGUAAUGUUUGCAACGGUAUCUGGCUUCAGUGGAUUAUUAUUAUUAUAUACCGAAGUUAAUGGAUUAACAGCUACUUUGGGAGCAGCUAAUCUGCUUCUGUACACUCUUAUUUAUACUCCUAUGAAACGCAUUAGUAUUUUAAAUACUUGGGUGGGUUCCAUAGUCGGAGCCAUACCACCAUUAAUGGGUUGGGCAUCUUGUGUCGGCAAUAUAAUAUCUCCAGGUGCUUGGAUAAUGUCUGGUCUAUUAUAUGCAUGGCAGUUUCCUCAUUUCAAUGCUUUAUCAUGGAAUUUGAGACCAGAUUAUUCACGUGCCGGUUAUAGAAUGAUGGCAGUCACGAAUCCAAAACUUUGUCGUAAAACAGCAUUACGUUAUACCGCUGCAUUAAUGGGUCUUUGUUAUUUAGCACCAGUUUGUGAUGUAACAAAUUGUUGGUUUGCCUUGUUAUCGACACCACUUAAUGCAUAUUUUCUUUACCUUGCUUGGGAAUUUCACAAGCACUCUGAUAGUAGAAGUUCACGCAAACUGUUUCGUUUUUCAUUGAUUCAUUUACCUGUUCUUAUAGUUCUUAUGCUUAUAAAUAAGAAACAGUGGUAUAAUGAUGACAAUAGACAGAGAGAUAUGGUACUUUCAGAAGAAAAAAGCGAUAUGUACGCAGUAUUAAUGAAAACGAUUGCAUCGGCAUUUUCGAGCACUUAAUAAACUACCUUGAAAUUUACGUCAUGAUACUGUAGGAAUCAUAAUAAGCUUUUUAGUUAAAUUUCUGUGUCCGGCACAAUCCAGAUUUUCCGUGAAACAUUUGUUUCUACAGCACUGUCGGCAUAAUUUAUGAACACAUUUGAGACUCUACGGGAGAAAACGUAACGGCGAGAUUAAUAAAUUUCAUUCGGAUUGAUAACAAAAGAUUAUGUUUAAAAUAAAGUUUUGCAAACCACUGGAUUUGGACAAUCGCAACACAAAUCAGAUCCUCUUUUCACGAUGAUAGCUGGUCUGUUGGGGCGACGCGCUAUUCGUUUGAGCUUCUUCAGCCGUUUUCGUGAUAUCUCAUUUCCUUCUUCAUCUCUGAAUUUUCUCUUGAUCGUUUCAUUUUGCUACAAAAAUUGAAUAUCGAAAUAAAAAAACAAUUAUAUCAUAUGAUAAGGGAAAGAAAGAAAAGAAUAGGGAUAGGGAUACAGAUAGAAAUAGAAAUAGAAGUAGGGAUAGGAAAAAGGAAAAGGAAAUUGCAGUAGAAUAGUGGAAACCAACCGUUUCGAUCCUUUCAAUUUCUAGCUUUUGUAUAUUCUCCUCUGGAAGAUGACGUAUAUAUGGUUGGCACAACCAGGGAGGUAGUUUUAAGUUAUGAUCUGAAAUAUAGAAUGCAAGUAAGUAACAACAGUCAUACUUUGGCGGUAUAUAACGAUAGUGUAAUUAAAAAUACAAAGAGAAAAUGUAUACACAGCCAGAAGGAAAGUGGAUAUAUGUAUGUCAUGCGAAUGAAGAAUAAAGUAUAUAAUGGAAUAUAAUAUAAUCGAAUAUAUGGUAGAGCCUACGAACCGGACAUUUCUUCCUGCCAGAUUAAACGACCUUCGUGAUAAGGCAGAUACCGAUCCCUCAAAGCGUAUACGACGUUUCUGAAGGAUUCCAUGUGUACAUAGAGAUCGAAAAUAAACGGAAGCUACAAAUAAUUGAUUUUUCAUACGUACGUGUGUUGGAACAAUUUAAAAAGAUGACCACGAAUGUAAGAAGGAGGGGCUGGAUAACGUUCCACCAAAUCCAAAUAUUCAAGCGCUGGCUCCCAACUAGGUGGAUAACGAGCUUCGAAUAUGUACGGAUUGUAAAGGUUGCCCUCUGCUGACAUUACACCGUGAACACCGGUUUCCUCUAUACAUCUUUCGAUAUCUUGCAGACACUGUAUGUUACCAUUCGCAAACACUGGAAUUGUGACGGCCUGUCUGAACGUUUGAAAUAAUAAGAAAUAGCAACUGACUGGAAGAUACACGCCAAAUGAAGAUACGAAGAGUAAUUGUUAAUCAUACCUGACGGCUUUGAUGUGAUCCCAAGAUGCGAUACCGGUUAAUGGACCUUUUUGUUCCCGAGUUCGUCCGUGCACGGUAAGUAAUCGUGCCCCAGCGGUCUCGAGCAUUUGCGCGUACUUAACAGUUUUAUCGAUCUCCGCAAAUACACGAAGCUUACAAGUAACUGGCACACGGAGACUUUUGCUCAAAGUACUUACUGUAAUAUUUCGUAAGAGGAAAAUAAAUUGGAGAUGUAACGUUA